GUGAUCAUACCAGCACUAAUGCACCGGAUCCCAUCAGAACUCCGAAGUUAAGCGUGCGUGGGCGAGAGCAGUACUAGGAUGGGUGACCCGACCCCCUGGGAAGUCCUCGUGUUGCACCCA
rnacentral:rRNA from 1 species